rnacentral:rRNA from 1 species
GACGAACGCUGGCGGCGUGCUUAACACAUGCAAGUCGAACGGAAAGGCCCUGCUUUUGUGGGGUGCUCGAGUGGCGCACGGGUGAGUAACACGUGAGUAACCUGCCCUUGACUUUGGGAUAACUUCAGGAAACUGGGGCUAAUACCGGAUAGGAGCUCCUGCUGCAUGGUGGGGGUUGGAAAGUUUCGGCGGUUGGGGAUGGACUCGCGGCUUAUCAGCUUGUUGGUGGGGUAGUGGCUUACCAAGGCUUUGACGGGUAGCCGGCCUGAGAGGGUGACCGGCCACAUUGGGACUGAGAGACGGCGCAGACGCGUACGGUAGGCAGCAGUGGGGAAUAUUGCACAAUGGGCGGAAGCCAGAUGCAGCAACGCCGCGUGCGGGAUGACGGCCUUCGGGUUAUAAACCGCUUUCGCCUGUGACGAAGCGUGAGUGACGGUAAUGGGUAAAGAAGCACCGGCUAACUACGUG